rnacentral:rRNA from 1 species
CAGCACCUCAAGUGGUCAGGAUGAUUAUUGGGCCUAAAGCAUCCGUAGCCGGCUCUGUUAGUUUUCGGUUAAAUCUGUACGCUCAACGUACAGGCUGCCGGGAAUACUGCAGAGCUAGGGAGUGGGAGAGGUAGACGGUACUCGGUAGGAAGGGGUAAAAUCCUUUGAUCUAUUGAUGACCACCUGUGGCGAAGGCGGUCUACCAGAACACGUCCGACGGUGAGGGAUGAAAGCUGGGGGAGCAAACCGGGAUUAGAUACCCGGGUAGUCCCAGCUGUAAACUAUGCAAACUCAGUGAUGCAUUGGCUUGUGGCCAAUGCAGUGCUGCAGGGAAGCCGUUAAGUUUGCCGCCUGGGAAGUACGUACGCAAGUAUG